UACGUAGGGUCCGAGCGUUGUCCGGAAUUAUUGGGCGUAAAGAGCUCGUAGGCGGUCUGUUGCGUCGGCUGUGAAAACCCGGGGCUCAACUCCGGGCCUGCAGCCGAUACGGGCAGACUGGAGUGCGGUAGGGGAGUCUGGAAUUCCUGGUGUAGCGGUGAAAUGCGCAGAUAUCAGGAGGAACACCGGUGGCGAAGGCGGGACUCUGGGCCGAUACUGACGCUGAGGAGCGAAAGCGUGGGGAGCGAACAGG
rnacentral:rRNA from 1 species